rnacentral:rRNA from 1 species
AGGGAAUCUUCCACAAUGGACGAAAGUCUGAUGGAGCAACGCCGCGUGAGUGAAGAAGGGUUUCGGCUCGUAAAACUCUGUUGUUAAAGAAGAACAUAUCUGAGAGUAACUGUUCAGGUAUUGACGGUAUUUAACCAGAAAGCCACGGCUAACUACGUGCCAGCAGCCGCGGUAAUACGUAGGUGGCAAGCGUUGUCCGGAUUUAUUGGGCGUAAAGCGAGCGCAGGCGGUUUUUUAAGUCUGAUGUGAAAGCCUUCGGCUCAACCGAAGAAGUGCAUCGGAAACUGGGAAACUUGAGUGCAGAAGAGGACAGUGGAACUCCAUGUGUAGCGGUGAAAUGCGUAGAUAUAUGGAAGAACACCAGUGGCGAAGGCGGCUGUCUGGUCUGUAACUGACGCUGAGGCUCGAAAGUAUGGGUAGCAAACA